rnacentral:rRNA from 1 species
UAAAUACUCCUGACUGACCGAUAGUGAACCAGUACCGUGAGGGAAAGGCGAAAAGAACCCCGGCGAGGGGAGUGAAAAAGAACCUGAAACCGUGUACGUACAAGCAGUGGGAGCACAGGUUUACCUGUGUGACUGCGUACCUUUUGUAUAAUGGGUCAGCGACUUAUAUUCUGUAGCAAGGUUAACCGUAUAGGGGAGCCGGAGGGAAACCGAGUCUUAACCGGGCGUUAAGUUGCAGGGUAUAGACCCGAAACCCGGUGAUCUAGCCAUGGGCAGGUUGAAGGUUGGGUAACACUAACUGGAGGACCGAACCGACUAAUGUUGAAAAAUUAGCGGAUGACCUGUGGCUGGGGGUGAAAGGCCAAUCAAACCGGGAGAUAGCUGGUUCUCCCCGAAAGCUAUUUAGGUAGCGCCUCGUGAAUUCAUCUCCGGGGGUAGAGCACUGUUUCGGCUAGGGGGCCAUCCCGGCUUACCAACCCGAUGCAAACUGCGAAUACCGGAGAAUGU